rnacentral:rRNA from 1 species
CACACCGCCCGUCGCUGCCCGGGAUUGAGUUGUUUCGAGAAAAGCGGAGACUGCUUCUCUCAGCGCUUUCGGGCGCGAAUUGAGGCGAGAACCGCGUUGAUCGAAACGGCUUGAACCGGGCAAAAGUCGUAACAAGGUUUCCGUAGGUGAACCUGCGGAAGGAUCAUUA